rnacentral:lncRNA from 1 species
CGUUCCUCUGCCACUGGUAAGAGUCAUUUUGCAAGCGUCUGCAAAUAUGUGCAUAAAGAAAGAGUGUAGCAGAGCUUCUCACCCUUGGUACUACUGAUGUUUGAGGGCAUGGAUUCUUUGUUAUGGGGAGAGGCUGUCCUGUGCAUGGUGGGAUGUUUAGUAAACAUCCCAGCAGUAGCCACCCCCCAAGGCUGUGACAACCUGAUGUGUCUCAGAACAUUGCCAAGUGUGCCCAGUGGCCAAAAUCACCCAUGGGAAUAUAGGGAAAUGGGAGAUACUGAAAACAAACAAAUAAACAAGAACAAAACAAACAAAAAACAAGGACAAUUGAUGACACUGACUCCCACAAAGCAGCAAAAGAAGAGGUUCUGCAUAGAGAGAUCACAAGUAGGCAGAGAGGCAGACAGAGAGAGAAGGGGAAGCAGACUGCUGAGCGGAGCAGAGAGCGCCAUGCGGGACUCCAUCCCAGGACCCUGAGAUCAUGACCUGAGUCAAAGGCAGCCACUUAACCCAUUGAGCCACCCAGGCACCCCUCAUAAUAAAAUAUUUUUA